rnacentral:rRNA from 1 species
CAAUAGCGUAUAUUAAAGUUGUUGCAGUUAAAAGCUCGUAGUCGGAUUUUGGCAUCAUGCCGAACUGUCAGCCGAUUGGUUUGUACGGUUUGGCGGGUGCUCUCCUUCCGGAGGCUCGUUUCCUCUUUCAUUAGAGGGUUCGAUGGUUCCGGGUCUUUUACUUUGAAAAAUUUAGAGUGUUACAAAGCAGGCCUAAUGCUCUGAAUAGGUUAGCAUGGAAUAAUAAUAUAGGACCUUGGUCCCAUUUUGUUGGUUUCUGGAACUGAGGUAAUGAUUAAUAGGGAUAAUUGGGGGCAUUCGUAUUAACGUGUCAGAGGUGGAAUUCUUGGAUUACGUUACGACGAACUACUGCGAAAGCAUUUGCCAAGGAUGUUUUCAUUGAUCAAGAACGAAAGUUCGGGGAUCGAAGAAUG